AGCGAUUUGCUUCUCUAUUGGAAAUUCCAGUUCUAAGAAUACUGAUUUACAACUUCAAUCAUCAACUGACAAAUACAGGCCUGCUAAGUGAGAGCCAAGCCAUAACAGCUCUCACUCCUACCACAGAGUAAACCCAGACCUCUCCUCCUUCCCUUCAACAAGUGAAGACUAUCUACUGAAACCUGAUUGCUUUCUGUUUUAUGGAGAAAGUCCUGACUUCUCAGACUUGCUGAAACCCUGAGAUCACUGGAAUCACCUGAUGACCUGCCCAUGGCACAAGAUCAUGAAUCAAGGGAGAUAGUAUCUAUCAAAACUGAAGAUGAAGGUCAUUGUAUCCUUGUUGUAUAGUCUUGCUGCAUUAGGACAAAAUAAACUUUUUUUUUUAUCAUUUGUUCAAUGACUUCUGAGCUUCUCAUUUUGUCCCAAAAUUGAACAUUAGCUAAAAGAGUGUUGGUGUGAGACCUGCCUCUUUCUGAAGUCCAUUGCAAAUGCCAGAGCUGGAGGAAACAAGACUACACAGUAGACAAAAAGAGACGACAUCUGUUUGGAUGUUACAAAGUAGCAUGGGAUUCCACCCUCAACCACGAUCAGCAAAGAAGAUAUACUGAGUUUUACAGAAUGUGGAUUUACAGACAACUAUAGAAAGCUACUACAGAGUUUCAAGUUUACUUCCUUUUUAAGAGAAACAUUUUGUUUGAUGGGUUGUGACUUAGCCAAGAUUCCCAGAGCAUGCUGCAUAAAGAGCUCUAAAGGACCUAAGCAAUUAUUCAUCACAGAGAAUGAAACUGAAGGCCACACAGCUAGUCAGUGGAAGAGCUAGAAAUAAGGAUGAGGUCAGAGGGUUUAAACCCUUCAUUUUAUAGACGAAGAAACUAAGGCACAUACAGAGGCUAAGUAAUUUACUUAGGGUCAUGUAGCUAUCAACAAGAAGAAACUUUUUGCUCUUUGAAGAUGUAUUUUUUUUAAGUUAAUUUUUUUACUUAGUCAAAAUCUGCCUUUUUUUCCCCUCUAAC